AGAAGGUUCACACACCAAGCACCAAGCGCUCACGCGAAUCAGAACCUGACUCAGCAUCGUCGUCGUCGUGAAGCAGAUAAUAAAAGAUCAAUGGACAGCUUUGUCAUCAAUACUUUGACAUAGUGGCAACUGACAGACCUUAUAGAAAGAUUCCAAGAAGAGGAUUGAUGAGGAAAGUUUUCUUCUUUUAGAUGAGGCCACCAUCAAAGAGCUGAUCACAAGCUGGUCCUAGGCUCAAGUUUCUCAAGAAGUUUCUCAAGAAGGAUCAAUUCUUCAGUUGUCCGGGAGUGAAAACUGGUCAAGUUCCUCCAAACAAGAGUACUUGCAUGCAAGGAGCAUGUUUAGGUGUUUACUGAUACUCAUUUGAACUGUUCCAUGCAGUGACCUGAAUUAGAAAACAUUUAUAUUGUGGAUAAUAAUACAUUUUUUCCAAGAUUCCAGUAUUGUUUAAGUGUUUAUUGCAUAAUA